UACAGAGGGGGCAAGCGUUGUUCGGAAUUACUGGGCGUAAAGGGCGCGUAGGCGGCCUGCUAAGUCGAACGUGAAAUCCCUGGGCUCAACCCAGGAACUGCGUCCGAUACUGGUUGGCUUGAAUCCGGGAGAGGGAUGCGGAACUCCAGGUGUAGCGGUGAAAUGCGUAGAUAUCUGGAGGAACACCGGUGGCGAAGGCGGCAUCCUGGACCAACACUGACGCUGAGUGAGCGAAAGCCAGGGGAGCAAACGGG
rnacentral:rRNA from 1 species